rnacentral:lncRNA from 1 species
UCUACCUUGUAAGCUAUUGCUAUGAAAUGGUUUGGGGUCAACUGUUAUUGAUUUAGUUGUGCAAUUUUGUUUAUGUCCUAACCCUCUGGGGAAAUGGAUUGUUUUCAGAAGGACUGUAUAGUUUCAUUUGGUGGGCUAGAAUUUAGUAAACAAUUUAGCAUUUCCCAGGUUGGGAAAUGGCAUUUGUAGCUCAUCACUUUCAGCUCUAUGAGAUUAAAUGGGGUAAAAUGCACUAAAACAUUGUCAUUCAAGUAAACAGGCUUCCUGAAAAAACACAGUAAGCAAAUCUGUUGAGUAGGAGGGUGGUAUAUUCCUUAGCUUCUAGAGUUAAGUUGUUCUCAUGUUAACAUUGUAAACCACAGCUACUAUAGAAAAUGAUGGGAAAAUAUGAUAACUAUAUGAGAAAACAGUAGCAAGAUUAAGUUUGUAGCUAGAGGUAUGGUAAACUAUUAGACAAGUUAAUAUGGGAGAUAUGGAACAAACUUUUGAAGUGUGCAAACUUUUCUGUUCUUCCGAGUCUUGCAGUUGUAUGUAAGCAUGAAAUUUUUCCCCAAGUCCUUGUAUAUUAGGUGUUGCUGAUGUUUCACAGCUGGAAAAACAAGUGUGGUGAGAUCAAGUGAUUUACCCAAGACUCUGAAACAGAGUGUUUAUGGUAAACCGCCUUCUUUGCAUACCAAGAAGUUGCAGCAGAGAUAAACAAAUUGCUACAAAUGACAAAGAUAUACCACGCUGCAUAGACUCAGUAUCCACUGUAUAUUCUGCUUGUCCCAGUAACUUUCAUCCUGUGGUCUCUGCAUGCUGUUAUUUUAGGUGUAUCCUUUACCAUUAUGUGAGUUGAGUUAACAUUACCCCAAAUUCUGCUGGCAUAUAGCUGGAAACAAGUAUUGAGUCUUUGUGUGUUGAGCAACUCUGUAGCUAAAAUCACUGACAAGUUAAAUGUUACUAGAUAUGACUUGUAGCCUAAACAUAGCAGCUAUAAAUUCUCACCUGUGCAAAGGGAAUCCUGUAGCUCUGCUCAAUACCUUCCUCCAGCUGCAGCUGAAUUUCCGCUGGGUUAAAACCCUUAGGCAGCUGUAGCGGUGUUUCACAUUGAUCUAGCACUUUUCACCCUCAAAGCUUGUUCAAAUAUUUGAACUCAGUAAAGCACUUCACAGUGUUGAG